rnacentral:rRNA from 1 species
AUGAACGCUGGCGGCGUGCUUAACACAUGCAAGUCGAACGGGAAACCUUUUAUUGAAGCUUCGGCAGAUUUAGCUGGUUUCUAGUGGCGGACGGGUGAGUAACGCGUGGGUAACCUGCCUUAUACAAGGGGAUAACAACCAGAAAUGGUUGCUAAUACCGCAUAAGCGCACAGGACCGCAUGGUCCGGUGUGAAAAACUCCGGUGGUAUAAGAUGGACCCGCGUUGGAUUAGCUAGUUGGCAGGGUAACGGCCUACCAAGGCGACGAUCCAUAGCCGGCCUGAGAGGGUGAACGGCCACAUUGGGACUGAGACACGGCCCAGACUCCUACGGGAAGCAGCAGUGGGGAAUAUUGCACAAUGGGGGAAACCCUGAUGCAGCGACGCCGCGUGAAGGAAGAAGUAUCUCGGUAUGUAAACUUCUAUCAGCAGGGAAGAUAGUGACGGUACCUGACUAAGAAGCCCCGGCUAACUACGUG